UUGUCCUUCUUUUCUUAUUAA
rnacentral:piRNA from 1 species